AAAGAUAUCACCGCCUAAAGCAUAUCCAGAUGUGACAGAAGUCAAUGAGAAGUGUAUUUUCAACAUUCAAGCAAGUUUGUUAAUCAAUAACAGCUAGACUUUUUAUAUAGUGACUUGCUCAGCUCUUCUACAUGGCAACACUACCUCUGAGGACCUUGGGCAUAGAGACUACCCCCACAACAAUCAUAAGAAGAUGGCUGAUUAAAGUUGCCAGUAUAUAUAACCCAAGAU